UGGGGAAUUUUGGACAAUGGGCGAAAGCCUGAUCCAGCAAUGCCGCGUGUGUGAAGAAGGCCUUCGGGUUGUAAAGCACUUUUGUCCGGAAAGAAAUCCUUGGCUCUAAUACAGUCGGGGGAUGACGGUACCGGAAGAAUAAGCACCGGCUAACUACGUGCCAGCAGCCGCGGUAAUACGUAGGGUGCAAGCGUUAAUCGGAAUUACUGGGCGUAAAGCGUGCGCAGGCGGUUUGCUAAGACCGAUGUGAAAUCCCGGGCUCAACCUGGGAACUGCAUUGGUGACUGGCAGGCUAGAGUAUGGCAGAGGGGGGUAGAAUUCCACGUGUAGCAGUGAAAUGCGUAGAGAUGUGGAGGAAUACCGAUGGCGAAGGCAGCCCCCUGGGCCAAUACUGACGCUCAUGCACGAAAGCGUGGGGAGCAAACAGGAUUAGAUACCCUGGUAGUCCACGCCCUAAACGAUGUCAACUAGUUGUUGGGGAUUCAUUUCCUAGUAACGUAGCUAACGCGUGAAGUUGACCGCCUGGGGAGUACGGUCGCAAGAUUAAAACUUAAAGGAAUUGACGGGGUCAUAGCUGUUUCCU
rnacentral:rRNA from 1 species